UACAGAGGGUGCAAGCGUUGUUCGGAAUUAUUGGGCGUAAAGCGCGUGUAGGCGGUCUGUUAUGUCGGGGGUGAAAGCCCUCAGCUCAACUGAGGAAGUGCGCCCGAAACUGGCAGACUUGAGUGCCGGAGAGGAUAGCGGAACACCCGGUGUAGAGGUGAAAUUCGUAGAUAUUCGGAAGAACACCAGUGGCGAAGGCGACAUACUGGUCCGUUACUGACGCUGAGGCUCGAAAGCGUGGGGAGCAAACAGG
rnacentral:rRNA from 1 species